rnacentral:rRNA from 1 species
UCCGGUGACUAUACCCAGUUGGAAACACACGUUCCCAUUCCGAACACGUUCGUUAAGCUUCUGGGGCCGAUGAUAGUGCAUACCAGUGCGAAAGUAGGUCAUCGCCGGAA